rnacentral:rRNA from 1 species
GACGUAGGGCGCGAGCGUUGUCCGGAUUUAUUGGGCGUAAAGAGCUCGUAGGCGGCUUGUCGCGUCGUCCGUGAAAACCUGCAGCUCAACUGCAGGCUUGCGGUCGAUACGGGCAGGCUAGAGUUCGGUAGGGGAGACUGGAAUUCCCGGUGUAGCGGUGAAAUGCGUAGAGAUCGGGAGGGAACACCAGUGGCGGAAGGCGGCUCUCCUGGACCGGUUCUGACGCUCAGGCGCGAAAGCGUGGGGAGCCGAGUCCGG